GCGUGGCCGUAAAACUUGACAGCAAAGUACAAUUUCUGUCCGCCAGGGGACUACAAGCAUCAGCUUAAAACCCAAAGGACUUGGCGGUGCCUCAGACCCACCUAGAGGAGCCUGUUCUAGAACCGAUAACCCCCGUUUAACCUCACCUCCCCUUGUUAUCACCGCCUAUAUACCGCCGUCGUCAGCAUACCCUGUGAAGGGUUCAUAGUAUGCAAGGUGGGUAGAGCCCAAAACGUCAGGUCGAGGUGUAGCGUAUGAGGAGGGAAGAAAUGGGCUACAUUCCCUGUUUUAGGGAAAAACGGACGGGGGCGUGAAACGGCCCCCUGAAGGUGGAUUUAGCAGUAGACUGGAAGCAGAGAGUCCCGUCGAAACUGGCUCUGAGGCGCGC
rnacentral:rRNA from 1 species